rnacentral:tRNA from 1 species
CCAUAAAUGAAAACUAUUUUCUAAGGGUAU